GGCUCAGUGAGGCCUUCGGACUGGCCCAGGGAGGUCGGCAACGACCACCCAGGGCCGGAAAGUUGGUCAAACUCGGUCAUUUAGAGGAAGUAAAAGUCGUAACAAGGUCUCCGUAGGUGAACCUGCGGAGGGAUCAUU
rnacentral:rRNA from 2 species